rnacentral:rRNA from 1 species
UACGUAGGGUGCAAGCGUUGUCCGGAAUUAUUGGGCGUAAAGAGCUCGUAGGCGGCUUGUCGCGUCGUCUGUGAAAAUCCCCGCGGCUCAACUGCGGGGUCUGCAGGCGAUACGGGGCAGGCUAGAGUUCGGUAGGGGGAGACUGGAAUUCCUGGUGUAGCGGUGAAAAUGCGUAGAUAUCGGGAGGAACACCAGUGGCGAAGGCGACUACCUGGCUGUUCUUGACGCUGAGGCGCGAAAGCUAGGGGAGCGAACAGGA